UAAUACGAAGGGACCUAGCGUAGUUCGGAAUUACUGGGCUUAAAGAGUUCGUAGGUGGUUAAAAUAGUUGGUGGUGAAAUCCCAGAGCUUAACUCUGGAACUGCCAUCAAAACUUUUUAGCUAGAGUAUGAUAGAGGAAAGCAGAAUUUCUAGUGUAGAGGUGAAAUUCGUAGAUAUUAGAAAGAAUACCAAUUGCGAAGGCAGCUUUCUGGAUCAUUACUGACACUGAGGAACGAAAGCAUGGGUAGCGAAGAGGAUUAGAUACCCUCGUAGUCCAUGCCGUAAACGAUGUGUGUUAGACGUUGGAAAUUUAUUUUUCAGUGUCGCAGCGAAAGCGAUAAACACACCGCCUGGGGAGUACGACCGCAAGGUUA
rnacentral:rRNA from 1 species